rnacentral:rRNA from 1 species
ACUGCUCAGUAACACGUGGACAACCUGCCCUUAGGUUGGGUAUAAACCCGGGAAACUGGGUAUAAUACCCGAUAGGUCUCGAUUGCUGGAAUGCAUCGAGAUUUAAAGCUCCGGCGCCUAAGGAUGGGUCUGCGGCCUAUCAGGUAGUAGUGGGUGUAGCGUACCUACUAGCCUACGACGGGUACGGGUUGUGAGAGCAAGAGCCCGGAGAUGGAUUCUGAGACACGAAUCCAGGCCCUACGGGGUGCAGCAGGCGCGAAAACUUUACAAUGCUGGCAACAGCGAUAAGGGAACCUCGAGUGCCAGGUUACAAAUCUGGCUGUCGAGAUGCCUAAAAAGCAUUUCAUAGCAAGGGCCGGGCAAGACCGGUGCCAGCCGCCGCGGUAACACCGGCGGCUCGAGUGGUAACCGUUAUUAUUGGGUCUAAAGGGUCUGUAGCCGGCCGGAUAAGUCUCUUGAGAAAUCUGGCAGCUUAACUGUCAGGCUUUCAGGAGAUACUGUCUGGCUCGAGGCCGGGAGAGGUGAGAGGUACUUCAGGGGUAGGGGUGAAAUCUUGUAAUCCUUGAGGGACCACCAGUGGCGAGGGCGUCUCACCAGAACGGACCUGACGGCAAGGGACGAAAGCUAGGGGCACGAACCGGAUUAGAUACCCGGGUAGUCCUAGCCGUAAACGAUACUCGCUAGGUGUCGGCCACGGUGCGACCGUUGUCGGUGCCGUAGGGAAGCCGUGAAGCGAGCCACCUGGGAAGUACGGCCGCAAGGCUGAAACUUAAAGGAAUUGGCGGGGGAGCAC